rnacentral:lncRNA from 1 species
CAGCAUUAGGAAAAUUGAGAACCGCUACUUUACAUAAACUUUCCCAUGAAUUUGUAAUUGCUCACAUUCACCUGUAGGAACCUGAUGAUCAUCCAGCUGCAUUUUUACAUCUUUAUGGUUUUCACUGCUCUGAGCUACUGCACAGGCCCAUGCAACGACCCAAAUAUAGCUGUUUCACAGGAGACUCUAGCAGCGGCUGCUCAGUGCCCCAAGAAUCCUAAUCUGAUUCCUGCAAAUUAUUGGAAAGAAGUAUCUGGAAUGCCAAAGGUCCCCCAAAACAUCCCACCUCACCACGGUUUCCC